AUGGCUAGAUAUUGGUGGAGCAGUUCAGUGGAUCACAGGUAUCUCCAUUGGAUUGAUUGGGAGUCUCUGACCAAACCAAAGAGUGCGGGCGGGAUGGGUUUCAGGAAGUUGGAUUUGUUCAACCUAGCUCUCCUGGGCAAACACGACUGGAAGCUUAUAACGAACCCAAAAUCCUUGUGCGCGCGCGUUUUGAAGGGAAAAUACUUUCCAACAAGUGAGUUCAUGGACGCAACAGUACCUAAACAUGCGUCAGCCACUUGGAGGGCAAUAGUUGCAGGGAGGCAGGCUUUGGAAACUGGCUUGGUGAGAAGAAUUGGAGAUUGUUCAUCUGUGUCCACAUGGAAUGAUAGCUGGAUACCAGGACUCCUCUCGUUGUGA
rnacentral:rRNA from 1 species